AGCUGUUCCCCUCUGGAGGUUCACACCUUCACAUCUCAUGGGCCGCAAUUACCUGCGGCCCAUUUUUUCGACAGUC
rnacentral:sRNA from 1 species